rnacentral:tRNA from 1 species
GGUUGUAGCUCAGUGGUAGAGCACUUGCCCGGCAUGUGGGAGGUGCUGUGUUUGAUUCUCAGCACCG